ACUUCAUCUUCUUUCUCUAUCUUCUUUUGCAUUUUCUCUCUCUUCAUUACAUUUCUCUCUCCUUCUGCAAAUUCUCUCUAUUUCGAUCUCUCUAAUCUUGCCGCACGUUGUCAACUUUGCAAAUUCUCAUCUAUGAUCAUUGUUGCUUAGGCAAAUUAAUGGGAAGAUCUAGAUUUGUCUGCAAAUUGAUCUCACAAUUGGUUAGGGCUAUAAUGAGGUGUUCAAUCAUUCUAUAAUCCAUGAAUUCAAGGAAGAUACAAUUGGCUUUUGAAGUAAUUUGAAAGCUGCAAUUGCUCAUUACAAUGUCAGGUGCUUACUUAGAGGAAGGCAAGCUAACAUCCUUCUCACUUCCUCACCUAGCCUAAUGGUGAAGAGUGUUUUAGUGGCUGAUGAUCUUUUCAAAUUGAAUUUUCUGCUAACUUGUGAUAGCUUGGAGAAAUGCCUAGAUGUCAGUGAAAUUCUAUUUACUUUCGAGUUAUCUUAUUUACUUUUGAGUUAAUUUUAAUUACUUUUAAGUUAAUGGUAAUUGCUUUUGAGUUGAUGGUAGUGACUGAGUGUGGUAUAUACUUGUGUUCAUGGAGUUUAUGGUAGUGGCUGCGUGGGAUUUAAUGUGUGGGUAAAAGUCGUGAGGGUGUCAAGGGUUUUCUUUGUAACCUUGGGUGCUGUGUGUUGGUGGCUGUUGUUUGGGUGGGCAAAGUGUAAUUUGAUGAAUAAUUGUGUAUGUGUGUGUGUGUUAAAUAUUUUUUAGAGGUUUUGCUUGAAGUUUUACUAGAUAUAUUUGAAUAGGGUUGUUUAGCUGUAUUGGAAUUAGAAUGCCUUUCACUGAGUAAAUGACUAAGACAUCCAGUUAUUAUCAAAUUGAUAUGCUGUGAACAUAUGGUCUCAUAAUAACUUUUAUGAUCUGUUAGCCGAUGCACCAACUUCCUCCUUUGCUGAUCGGUUUUUGUGGGCUGCAAACAGGCUGGACAAAAAAGAACCAAGUCUAUUAUGUACUUCGAGUUGUGCAUCUUGGUUUUGCAGGAUUAUGAGAGUGCAUCAAGAAUCGGUGUCUGACCUGAAUUGUGGCUAGGGGUGAGCAUGGGUCUGGUACCCGUACCGUUAACACUAUCGGUUCGGGUACCCGAUAAC